AUUGAACGCUGGCGGCAGGCUUAACACAUGCAAGUCGAGCGGUAGCACAGGGGAGCUUGCUCCCUGGGUGACGAGCGGCGGACGGGUGAGUAAUGUCUGGGAAACUGCCUGAUGGAGGGGGAUAACUACUGGAAACGGUAGCUAAUACCGCAUAACGUCGCAAGACCAAAGAGGGGGACCUUCGGGCCUCUUGCCAUCAGAUGUGCCCAGAUGGGAUUAGCUAGUAGGUGGGGUAAUGGCUCACCUAGGCGACGAUCCCUAGCUGGUCUGAGAGGAUGACCAGCCACACUGGAACUGAGACACGGUCCAGACUCCUACGGGAGGCAGCAGUGGGGAAUAUUGCACAAUGGGCGCAAGCCUGAUGCAGCCAUGCCGCGUGUAUGAAGAAGGCCUUCGGGUUGUAAAGCACUUUCAGCGAGGAGGAAGGUGGUGAGCUUAAUACGUUCAUCAAUUGACGUUACUCGCAGAAGAAGCACCGGCUAACUCCGUG
rnacentral:rRNA from 1 species